AUACGGAGGAUCCGAGCGUUAUCCGGAUUUAUUGGGUUUAAAGGGAGCGUAGGUGGAUUGUUAAGUCAGUUGUGAAAGUUUGCGGCUCAACCGUAAAAUUGCAGUUGAAACUGGCAGUCUUGAGUACAGUAGAGGUGGGCGGAAUUCGUGGUGUAGCGGGGAAAUGCUUAGAUAUCACGAAGAACUCCGAUUGCGAAGGCAGCUCACUAGACUGUUACUGACACUGAUGCUCGAAAGUGUGGGUAUCAAACAGGAUUAGAUACCCUGGUAGUCCACACAGUAAACGAUGAAUACUCGCUGUUUGCGAUAUACAGUAAGCGGCCAAGCGAAAGCAUUAAGUAUUCCACCUGGGGAGUACGCCGGCAACGGUGAAACUCAAAGGAAUUGACGGG
rnacentral:rRNA from 1 species